UGCCGGCGACCGGCGGACGGGUGCGUAACGCGUAUGUAACCUACCUUUGACACGGGGGAUAACAUCGAGAAAUUGGUACUAAUACCCCAUAACAUCACCGGAGGCAUCUUCGGUGGUUGAAAAACUCAGGUGGUCAGGAGAUGGACAUGCGUUGUAUUAGCUAGUUGGUGAGGUAACGGCUCACCAAGGCGACGAUACAUAGGGGGACUGAGAGGUCAACCCCCCACAUUGGUACUGAGACACGGACCAAACUCCUACGGAAGGCAGCAG
rnacentral:rRNA from 1 species